rnacentral:rRNA from 1 species
UGAGGCUUUCGGACUGGCCCAGAGAGGUGGGCAACUACCACUCAGGGCCGGAAAGUUAUCCAAACUCGGUCAUUUAGAGGAAGUAAAAGUCGUAACAAGGUCUCCGUUGGUGAACCAGCGGAGGGAUCAUUA